rnacentral:rRNA from 1 species
GCCCAAGAGAUCGGGAUAACACCUGGAAACAGAUGCUAAUACCGGAUAACAACAGAUGAUGCCUAUCAAUUGUUUAAAAGAUGGUUCUGCUAUCACUCUUGGAUGGACCUGCGGUGCAUUAGCUAGUUGGUAGGGUAACGGCCUACCAAGGCGAUGAUGCAUAGCCGAGUUGAGAGACUGAUCGGCCACAUUGGGACUGAGACACGGCCCAAACUCCUACGGGAGGCAGCAGCG